rnacentral:rRNA from 1 species
UUCUUCGGAGAGUUUGAUCCUGGCUCAGGAUGAACGCUGGCGGCGUGCCUAAUACAUGCAAGUCGAGCGAACUGAUUAGAAGCUUGCUUCUAUGACGUUAGCGGCGGACGGGUGAGUAACACGUGGGCAACCUGCCUGUAAGACUGGGAUAACUUCGGGAAACCGAAGCUAAUACCGGAUAGGAUCUUCUCCUUCAUGGGAGAUGAUUGAAAGAUGGUUUCGGCUAUCACUUACAGAUGGGCCC